ACAUGAGGAUUACCCAUGU
rnacentral:misc_RNA from 2 species